rnacentral:rRNA from 1 species
AGCGAACGCUGGCGGCAGGCCUAACACAUGCAAGUCGAACGGGCUCUUCGGAGCUAGUGGCGGACGGGUGAGUAACACGUGGGAACGUGCCUUUAGGUUCAGAAUAAGCCCGGGAAACUGGGUCUAAUACCGAAUGUGCCCUUCGGGGGAAAGAUUUAUCGCCUUUAGAGCGGCCCGCGUCUGAUUAGCUUGUUGGUGAGGUAAUGGCUCACCAAGGCGACGAUCAGUAGCUGGUCUGAGAGGAUGACCAGCCACAUUGGGACUGAGACACGGCCCAAACUCCUACGGGAGGCAGCAGUGGGGAAUCUUGCGCAAUGGGCGAAAGCCUGACGCAGCCAUGCCGCGUGGAUGAUGAAGGUCUUAGGAUUGUAAAAUCCUUUCACCGGUGAAGAUAAUGACUGUAGCCGGAGAAGAAGCCCCGGCUAACUUCGUGCCAGCCGCCGCUGUAAUAC